GCAAAACUAAAUUUUAUUUAAAAAUUUAAAGAAAAUUUUCAACUUAAAAAGUAUUUUUAAAAAAUACCCAUCUUAAUCAACCGCAAGGACCAUUACUUAGCUUUCCUAAGAAAUGAUAAUAUCAUAUCCCUCUUGCAUCAUGGAGAAGCAACAAAAAUAUAUUAAUAUACACUCCCGAAUAACCAUGAGCUACUAAUUCCUAAAAACCAAUGUUUCAUAAUUGGUAAAGUAACUUUUAGUAGGAGUAACAAACCUUUCAUAUGGUUAUAUAGCUGGUUUUUCUUUAAAAGCAUCAAAGUGCUGGCUUAUAGUAAAAUUUUAUUACCUUAAUCUAUAAAGCUUAGCCUGUUGAGGACUAGCUCAACAAGAACUUUAAAAUACCUUAUCUUUCAGUCCCAUCAGUAGGCUUAAAAGCAGCCAUCUAACAGCGUUUUAGCUAAUGUAAGUACUCUAUUAAAUAUCUACAUCACCAAUUUUAAAACUAAAGAAAUUUAACAAGAAAUUUUUUUGUUAUUAAACAGGCAUUCUAUUAGUAUUAAUAUAAAAUAUUGUUCAACACCCUUGAAGCUUUGAGUCAAAAACUUUUAUUUCCUAAAAUACAUAAAGUGAACUCGGCAAAUAAGUUCCCUGCCUGUUUACCAAAAACAUCGUUUUCUGAAAACCUAUUAUAGAAAAUAAUGCCUGCCCAGUGAAAUUUAAACGGCCGCGUUAGCGUGAGCGUGCUAAGGUAGCGUAAUAAUUAGCCUUUUAAUUGGAGGCCAGUGAAUGGCAAGACUAGGAACACCUUUACCAUAUGUAUAAAAAAACUUUUCGUCUAAGUGAAAAGACUUAGAUAAUAAAGGUAGACGAAAAGACCCCGCGGAACUUUACCUUUUCGUAUACAACCGUGUACUCACCCCAAUGUAUAUAAGGUUUGAUUGGGGCAAUCUUGGAACCAGCAAAGCUUCCAAUUUCUUAGCUAAAACUUAUUUAGAAUUUGAUAAGGACCAAAAAGAAGUUACCCCGGGGAUAACAGCGUAAUCCAACUUAAGAGUACAUAUCGAAAGUUGGGUUUGCGACCUCGAUGUUGGCUUAAGGAUAUCCACAUAAGUGCAACCGCUAUGACAGGAUAGUCUGUUCGACUAUUAUACCCUUACACGAGCUGAGUUAAGACCGGCGCAAGCUAGGUUGGUUUCUAUCUCCUUUAUAAAUAAAAAUCUUCUUGAUUGUACGAAAGGACCCCAAAAGAUGCACCAAAAGCACCUUUAUAAAACACUUUUUAUUCCUCAU
rnacentral:rRNA from 1 species